GACAGAGGGUGCAAACGUUGUUCGGAAUUACUGGGCGUAAAGCGCGUGUAGGCAGCUGAGCAAGUCGGAUGUGAAAGCCCUGGGCUCAACCUAGGAAGUGCAUUCGAAACUGCUGAGCUUGAGUUCUGGAGAGGAAGGCGGAAUUCUCGGUGUAGAGGUGAAAUUCGUAGAUAUCGGGAGGAACACCGGUGGCGAAGGCGGCCUUCUGGACAGCAACUGACGCUGAGGAGCGAAAGCGUGGGGAGCGAACAGG
rnacentral:rRNA from 1 species